rnacentral:rRNA from 1 species
GACGAACGCUGGCGGCGUGCUUAACACAUGCAAGUCGAACGGAAAGGCCCUGCUUUUGUGGGGUGCUCGAGUGGCGAACGGGUGAGUAACACGUGAGUAACCUGCCCUUGACUUUGGGAUAACUUCAGGAAACUGGGGCUAAUACCGGAUAGGAGCUCCUGCUGCAUGGUGGGGGUUGGAAAGUUUCGGCGGUUGGGGAUGGACUCGCGGCUUAUCAGCUUGUUGGUGGGGUAGUGGCUUACCAAGGCUUUGACGGGUAGCCGGCCUGCGAGGGUGACCGGCCACAUUGGGACUGAGAUACGGCCCAGACUCCUACGGGAGGCAGCAGUGGGGAAUAUUGCACAAUGGGCUGAAGCCUGAUGCAGCAACGCCGCGUGCGGGAUGACGGCCUUCGGGUUGUAAUCCGCUUUCGCCUGUGACGAAGCGUGAGUGACGGUAAUGGGUAAAGAAGCACCGGCUAACUACGUG